UGACAAUAAUUUUUUAUUACUAUUAUUAUUUUAUGUAUUUAUUUUUUAAAGUAUCAUUCUUUGAAUUUAUUUCUUUAUACAUUUAAUUUCAUUUAUAAUUUAUUGACCUGUAUUCAGAUUUUUUUUUUACAUGUUUUCAUCUGAAACAUUCAAGUUCAAACAAACAUUUAUUUUGUGUGUGUUCUUUACAAUUGAGAUCAGUGCUAGACUCCAACUGCCCCCCCCCCCCCCUCCUCUGUUCUAGAGUCAGAUGUACGUGGGCUGCUUGGUUCAGUACAUUCCUCUUCAUUGGAAGCAGUUUGAAGAACACAACAUGCUCUGCUGUUCCAUCCUCACUACCCUCAUCCAUCUCGUAUGGGUGCGACAUGCCCGAGGGGCCAGGAAUGAAACCGGUCUGGGAGCAGAAAGCAAGAUUCCUUCCUCCUACCUGUUAUCCAGCUCAGCACAGAGGUUUCUCAGCCCCCUCAUGUUUACCUGCUGGAAGACGGUCUGGAGCUGUGAGCUAUGCUGA
rnacentral:lncRNA from 1 species